rnacentral:rRNA from 1 species
CACGUAGGGUGCGAGCGUUGUCCGGAAUUAUUGGGCGUAAAGAGCUCGUAGGCGGUGUGUCGCGUCGGCCGUGAAAACUUGGGGCUUAACUCUGAGCGUGCGGUCGAUACGGGCAUCACUUGAGUUCGGCAGGGGAGACUGGAAUUCCUGGUGUAGCGGUGAAAUGCGCAGAUAUCGGGAGGAACACCAGUAGCGAAGGCGGCACUCUGGGCCGGUACUGACGCUGAGGAGCGAAAGCGUGGGGAGCGAACAGG